CAGAGGAUUUCUCCUGGUUCCUCCAGGAAAUCACAGAAAAUCUCAGAAGAUCUGUGAUUUCCUGGAGGAACCAGGAGAAAUCUUCUG
rnacentral:pre_miRNA from 1 species